UUAAGCUAAGAAGAGCGUAGGGAGAAUGCCUUGGCAUUAGGAGCCGACGAAGGACGUGAUAAGCUGCGAUAAGCUGCGGGGAUCAGCAAGUAUGAAUUGAUCCGCAGAUUUCCGAAUGGAGCAAUCCGUAUGUGUAUGCACAUACAUCAUAUACUGAAUCAAAUAGGUAUAUGAGGGGAACCGCCUGAACUGAAACAUCUAAGUAGGGCGAGGAAGAGAAAUCAACCGAGAUUCUGUGAGUAGUGGCGAGCGAAAGCGGAAGAGGCUAAACCAUAGGUAGCAAUACUUAUGGGGUUUCGGACAGCAUUUAGUAUUGAUAAUUUCUAGUUGAAACGUGUGGGAAAACGUACCGAAGAGUGUGAGAGUCACGUAAGCGAAAGAGAAAGUCAGCGAGCUGUAUCCAAAGUACCGCGGGACACGUGAAACCCCGUGGGAAGAUGGGGGGACCAUCCUCCAAGCCUAAAUACUACCUAAUGACCGAUAGCGAAUAGUACUGUGAAGGAACGGUGAAAAGAACCCCGGGAGGGGAGUGAAAAAGAACCUGAAACCCUAUGCUUACAAGCACCGAGAGCACGUCAAAGUGUGAUCGGGUACCUUUUGUAGAAUGGUCCGGCGAGUUAUUGUAUGCGGCAAGGUUAAGUGCUUAAGGCACGGAGCCGAAGCGAGAGCAAGUCUGAAUAGGGCGAAAAAGUCGUAUGCAAUAGACCCGAAACCGAGUGACCUAUCCAUGUCCAGGCUGAAGUGGAGGUAAAACUCCAUGGAGGGCCGAACACACGUCCGUUGAAAAGGCCGGUGAUGAGGUGUGGAUAGCGGAGAAAUUCCAAUCGAACUCGGAUAUAGCUGGUUCUCUCCGAAAUAGCUUUAGGGCUAGCCUCGUGAAAGAUUACUGGAGGUAAAGCACUGAAUGGGCUAGGGGUCGAAAGAUUACUGAACCCUAUCAAACUAAGAAUGCCAGAUAAUUGAUUCACGGGAGUCAGACAAUGUGAGAUAAGUCUCAUUGUCAAAAGGGAAACAGCCCAGACCCACAGCUAAGGUCCCUAAACAUUGUUAAGUGGAAAAGGAUGUGGGGUUGCAUAAACAACCAGGAUGUUGGCUUAGAAGCAGCCACUCAUUAAAAGAGUGCGUAAUAGCUCACUGGUCGAGUGACCCUGCGCCGAAAAUUCAACGGGGCUAAACAAUGUACCGAAGCUUGGGAUUCUAGAUUUAUCUAGAGUGGUAGGAGAGCGUCGAAUAAGGGGUGAAGUCAGAGCGGAAGCGCUGGUGGACUUUAUUCGAGUGAGAAUGCCGGAAUGAGUAGCGAGAAUUAUGUGAGAAUCAUAAUGGCCGAAAAUCUAAGGUUUCCUGAGGAAGGUUCGUCCGCUCAGGGUAAGCCGGGGGCUAAGGCGAGGCGGAGACGCGUAGCCGAUGCACAUACGGUUGAAAUUCCGUAGCCACCGAAAGAUUUAAGUACAGGGACGCUUUAGAAGUGAUGUUGCCGGGCGAUGGUUGACCCGGUCGUAAGGGAUCGAAAAUGAGUAGAGAAGUCAUCAUGGAAAGAGACAAGAAAAGCUGUAUGAAUAUCUUAGGUGCCCGUACCGCAAACCGACACAGGUAGAUAGGAAGAAGAUUCUAAGGCCAACGGGAGAAGGGUUGUUAAGGAACUCGGCAAGUUGACCCCGUAACUUAGGGAUAAGGGGUGCUCAAGUGAUUGAGCCGCAGAGAAUAGGCCCAGGCGACUGUUUAGCAAAAACACAGGUCUCUGCUAAAUCGAAAGAUGACGUAUAGGGGCUGACACCUGCCCGGUGCCGGAAGGUUAAGAGGAGAUGUGAGAGCAUUGAAUUGAAGCCCCGGUAAACGGCGGCCGUAACUAUAACGGUCCUAAGGUAGCGAAAUUCCUUGUCAGGUAAGUUCUGACCCGCACGAAAGGUGUAACGAUCUGGGCACUGUCUCAACAACCCGCCCGGCGAAAUUGUAGUACCGGUGAAGAUGCCGGUU
rnacentral:rRNA from 1 species